GACGAACGCUGGCGGCGUGCCUAAUACAUGCAAGUAGAACGCUGAAGGAGGAGCUUGCUUCUCUGGAUGAGUUGCGAACGGGUGAGUAACGCGUAGGUAACCUGCCUGGUAGCGGGGGAUAACUAUUGGAAACGAUAGCUAAUACCGCAUAAUAGUAGAUGUUGCAUGACAUUUGCUUAAAAGGUGCAAUUGCAUCACUACCAGAUGGACCUGCGUUGUAUUAGCUAGUUGGUGGGGUAACGGCACACCAAGGCGACGAUACAUAGCCGACCUGAGAAGGUGAUCGGCCACACUGGGACUGAGACACGGCCCAGACUCCUACGGGAGGCAGCAGUAGGGAAUCUUCGGCAAUGGACGGAAGUCUGACCGAGCAACGCCGCGUGAGUGAAGAAGGUUUUCGGAUCGUAAAGCUCUGUUGUAAGAGAAGAACGAGUGUGAGAGUGGAAAGUUCACACUGUGACGGUAUCUGACCAGAAAGGGACGGCUAACUACGUG
rnacentral:rRNA from 1 species